rnacentral:rRNA from 1 species
AUUGAACGCUGGCGGCAGGCUUAACACAUGCAAGUCGAGCGGGGGAAGGUAGCUUGCUACCGGACCUAGCGGCGGACGGGUGAGUAAUGCUUAGGAAUCUGCCUGUUAGUGGGGGACAACAUCUCGAAAGGGAUGCUAAUACCGCACACGUCCUACGGGAGAAAGCAGGGGAUCUUCGGACCUUGCGCUAAUAGAUGAGCCUAAGUCGGAUUAGCUAGUUGGUGGGGUAAAGGCCUACCAAGGCGACGAUCUGUAGCGGGUCUGAGAGGAUGAUCCGCCACACUGGGACUGAGACACGGCCCAGACUCCUACGGGAGGCAGCAGUGGGGAAUAUUGGACAAUGGGGGGAACCCUGAUCCAGCCAUGCCGCGUGUGUGAAGAAGGCCUUAUGGUUGUAAAGCACUUUAAGCGAGGAGGAGGCUACUUUAGUUAAUACCUAGAGAUAGUGGACGUUACUCGCAGAAUAAGCACCGGCUAACUCUGUG